rnacentral:rRNA from 1 species
UACGAAGGGGGCUAGCGUUGUUCGGAAUUACUGGGCGUAAAGCGCACGUAGGCGGACUAUUAAGUCAGGGGUGAAAUCCCGGGGCUCAACCCCGGAACUGCCUUUGAUACUGGUAGUCUCGAGUCCGGAAGAGGUGAGUGGAAUUCCGAGUGUAGAGGUGAAAUGCGCAGAUAUCGGGAAGAACACCCGUGGCGAAGGCGGCUCUCUGGGACGGUACUGACGCUGAGACGCGAAAGCGUGGGGAGCGAACAGG